GGGAAUCUCUGCAGACCCAGAAUUCUCUCCCCUGCCUCACAGCCCAGCUGCCCUUUACACCCACCCCCCGACCCCAUAGGCCCAACCACUCCCCAAGUCCCCGGCCCUGUCCAUCUGCCAUUUCACUGGACCUGAGGUCGCCGUCUCCCCCGCGGCCUCAUGUCAUCCUUUCCAGGAUGGCUGGGGUUGCCCGGGAGGUGGUGGCCCAGGUCCAUGCACCAGCAAACAUUACACACACCUUUGACACUAACUCUUUUUGCUCUCCUCCUCUCUCUCCCCUCUGCCUUUCUCCUACAGGUGUUGCUGGUUCCCGGUUGGGCCUUGCUGGGUGGCGGACUCCGCCAGACUGUAUUCCAAAAAACACAGGGGGGCCAAUGAUGACGGGGACUCAGAAGGUCAAACAACCUACACCACGGGCCCAUUCUGAACCCUCCUGUGUCCAGUCUGGUGGGAUCGUGCUGCCUGGCGGGCCUUUUCCGGGGACUAAGAAACCAGCGGACCUGGAUCCCAAUCUCCAGCUCCCGGGGUACUGCCCUCUAUUUUCCUCUCCUCCUUCCCUUCCUCCCCCUACCUCUCCUCUCCCUCCAUUUCCACUACAACCCACUCCCUCUCUUCCGAUCAGGUUUAAACCGACUCGUCACACUGCCAGACCACACCGGAAAGCACAGGACUGGUUUCUCAAACCCACCAAGCCGGUCCUGAUACUGGGGGAUUCUAACAUAGCCAGAAUCCCACCUCACAAUGACCCUAACGUCCAAUUGGACAGUUUUCCAGGGGCCAAAGUCUAUCAUCUCUUGGAACUCUUCAAAAGAACAAAACCCACUGACAUAACCAAGAUUCUAGUUUUCUCCGUAGGAAUCAACAAUAUGGAUCAGGACCCCAGGCAGACGACCACUAAACAACUCCGGGCACUCUUCAAGCAGGCUGCCAUCACUUUCCCCCAUGCUUCCAUUUACUUCCCCCUUUUGAACUUUUCCCCUCAGCUCACACAAACACAGCAGCACAACCUCCGGUACAUAAACCACAUCAUGGACCGCCACUACACCACACUCCCCUUAAUUCCACACGACACAUUUACUACCACAACAGACAAUAUCCAUUGGACCCCUAUAACUGCACAACACAUUUUCCAAUCCUGGCUAUUAGAGUUAGGAUUAAAUACAUAAUUGUCGCCUGCCUGGGGCCCUGAUCCCCCCUGGACCCAAGAUCACCCAAGUACACAUAGCAUACAUAUACAACACCCAUCCACAGAUCUGUUGGCCAGUGCAAACCAAUCACAACCCUG
rnacentral:lncRNA from 1 species